CUUUAUCUGUAGUGGGUUCUUCAGUGGUGGAUUCUCAUACUUCCCCUUGUUUGUGUUUGGAUGCUUUGCCCACAACCAGCAUCAAUCUCAAAAGUUGUGGGGAUUUUGUAAUGAAAAAGAAUUCAAUGGGUAGAAAGCGUUUGCCGAAACCAAAGCACUUGGAUCUAAGCAGCUCGUUCGUCGAUAAUGGCCGGGAGUGGCUGCUCUCGGCGGAUAUGAUAAAUAGG
rnacentral:misc_RNA from 1 species